GCUUGAGAGAACCCAGGAGAAGGAACUCGGCAAACUAGCUCCGUAACUUCGGGAGAAGGAGCGCCCCGGUAGGUUGUAGCAAUUUACUUGCGAAGGCCGAUGGGGUUGCAGUGAAAAGGUGGCUGCGACUGUUUAAUAAAAACACAGCACUGUGCAAACACGAAAGUGGACGUAUACGGUGUGACGCCUGCCCGGUGCCGGAAGGUUAAAUGAUGGGGUGCAAGCUCUUGAUUGAAGCCCCGGUAAACGGCGGCCGUAACUAUAACGGUCCUAAGGUAGCGAAAUUCCUUGUCGGGUAAGUUCCGACCCGCACGAAUGGCGUAACGAUGGCCACACUGUCUCCUCUUGGGACUCAGCGAAGUUGAAAUGUUUGUGAAGAUGCAAUCUACCCGCGGCUAGACGGAAAGACCCCAUGAACCUUUACUGUAGCUUUACAUUGGACUUUGACAAGAUCUGUGUAGGAUAGGUGGGAGGCAUUGAAGCGUGGUCGCUAGAUCAUGUGGAGCCAACCUUGAAAUACCACCCUGAUGUUGUUGAGGUUCUAACCUAGACCCCGAAACGGGGUUGGGGACCGUGUAUGGUGGGCAGUUUGACUGGGGCGGUCUCCUCCCAAAGAGUAACGGAGGAGUGCGAAGGUAACCUAGGUACGGUCGGAAAUCGUACUGAUAGUGCAAUGGCAUAAGGUUGCUUGACUGCGAGACGGACAGGUCGAGCAGGUGCGAAAGCAGGUCAUAGUGAUCCGGUGGUUCUGUAUGGAAGGGCCAUCGCUCAACGGAUAAAAGGUACUCUGGGGAUAACAGGCUGAUUCCUCCCAAGAGUUCAUAUCGACGGGGGAGUUUGGCACCUCGAUGUCGGCUCAUCACAUCCUGGGGCUGUAGCCGGUCCCAAGGGUAUGGCUGUUCGCCAUUUAAAGUGGUACGUGAGCUGGGUUUAAAACGUCGUGAGACAGUUUGGUCCCUAUCUGCCGUGGGCGCUGGAAAUUUGAAGGGACCUGCUCCUAGUACGAGAGGACCGGAGUGGACGUAUCUCUGGUGGACCGGUUAUCAUGCCAAUGGUAUAGCCGGGUAGCUAAAUACGGAAGAGAUAAACGCUGAAAGCAUCUAAGCGUGAAACUCGCCUUGAGAUGAGAUUUCCCUGGGGGUUUAACCCCCCUAAAGAGUCGUUCGAGACCAGGACGUUGAUAGGACGGAUGUGGAAGUGCAGUAAUGCAUUAAGCUGACCGUUACUAAUUGCUCGUGAGGCUUGAUCCU
rnacentral:rRNA from 1 species